GAUGAACGCUAGCGGCAGGCCUAAUACAUGCAAGUCGAACGGUGUCUUCGGACAUAGUGGCGCACGGGUGCGUAACACGUAUGCAACCUACCUUACAUUGGGGGAUAGCCUUUCGAAAGGGAGAUUAAUACCGCAUAAGACAGUAGCUGGGCAUCCAGCAGCUGUUAAAGAUUUAUCGAUGUAAGCUGGGCAUGCGUCCAAUUAGCUAGUUGGUGAGGUAAAGGCUCACCAAGGCAAUGAUUGGUAGGGGAACUGAGAGGUCAAUCCCCCACACUGGCACUGAGAUACGGGCCAGAGUCCUACGGGAGGCAGUAGUAGGGAAUAUAGGGCAAUGGACGCAAGUCUGACCCAGCCAUGCCGCGUGCAGGAUGAAGGCGUUAUGCGUUGUAAACUGCUUUUAUACAGGGAGAAACGACUCUUGCGAGAGGCAUUGACGGUACUGUAUGAAUAAGCACCGGCUAACUCCGUGCCAGCAGCCGCGGUAAGAC
rnacentral:rRNA from 1 species